AGAAUCAACUUAAAGAAGAAGGACAGUCCCCACAGGGGUUUAAGUGCCAACCGAAAGUGACGUGGGAGGUGGAAAGGGCUGUGGUCAGGAAGAUGAAGACCACGGGUAACAUACGCAGGCUGUGGAUGGGGUGAAGAGAGACUGGCAGGGGUUUGAGGAAAGAAAAGGGUGAAUGAUAAAGCACUUUAGCAUCCUCUGACCUUGGAAAGCCCUGCUACCAGCUGAGGUUCACCGGAGGUGUGACCACUCAGCCUGCUGUGCACACAGAGCUGGAUUUGAGAAGCUCCACACACUGCAACUUAUCUUCCCAUCAGGCCCUGAAGAAAGGGCUCAAGUUUCCCUUCCAAACCAGGCCUUUCCCAAACCCAGAGGCCCAGGAUUGGGGGAGGGGCAGCACCCCCUAAACUGUCAGUACUGUGGGGGCUGUGCACGCAGCACGGGGCCCAGCCAGGGAGAGUGAACUGGUAGGCCACUGUGAGAACCACAGGGAAGAAGGAGCCGGGAGGACCACACGCUUAAUCAAAACCAGCUUUGUGCUUACACGCUGCCCAGGGGAUAAAAAUAAUAGUAAUAAAAGUUUAAGAGC
rnacentral:lncRNA from 1 species